rnacentral:lncRNA from 1 species
UUGUGUAUUAAAGGUGAUCAAUCUCUACAAUAUUAUUUGGAGGGAGUAAGAUUUUUAUCUUGUAAACAAAGAAGAAAGAUACAAAGUUCAAUAUUCAAAAGAAAGGAGAUAAGAAAGAUAUAGAGUUCAAUAUACGAAAAAAAAAAGAUAAGGAAGAUACAAAGUUCAAUAUACGAAAGGAAUAAGAUAAUUAAGAGAUAAUAGGUCAAAUGGAACAAAUUAUUCUAAUAAAUAAUUUGAGUAGCAUGACAACAUAUAAGAAAAUGAACAAAGAGACAUGUGAUUAGUUAUCUUCAUGGAAGCAUUUAUUCUAUUCCGAAAGUAGUAUAACCAAUUUCAAAAACAUAUUUUAUCUAUGUGACAUGUCUGUCGUAUUUGGUUCUUCCUUAUUCUCCUUUUUCCUUUCUUCUCUUUUCUCUUUUCCUCUUACUCUGUUGUUAUCAUCGUAGUCGUCAAUAUUAUUGCUACCACUAUCACCUUUUUCUUUUCUCUUCUUUCUCUUCUUCCUCCUCUUCUCUUUUUAUCUUUCUUCUACUUUUGUUUUUAUGUCGAUAAAUAUAUCUUUGGUUUUAUUAUUCUUCCUAUUUUUCUUAUCUUCCUAUUUCUUCAUUAUUGUCGCUUGUCAAUGUUAUCUGUCAUCUUUGACUCUUCCUUAUUCUCUUAUUUAUUCUCUUUUCUCCUCUUUUUACCCUCUUAUUCGUUACCACUAUCGUAGUUAUCAAUGUUAUUGCCACAACUAUCAUCUUCUCUUCCUCUCCUUUUUGUCUUUCUUUUACUUUUUGUUCUCUU